CAGUAGCCACGGUAAUACGAAGGGUGCAAGCGUUAAUCGGAAUUACUGGGCGUAAAGCGCGCGUAGGUGGUUUGGUAAGAUGGAUGUGAAAUCCCCGGGCUCAACCUGGGAACUGCAUCCAAAACUGGCAAGCUAGAGUACGGUAGAGGGUGGUGGAAUUUCCUGUGUAGCGGUGAAAUGCGUAGAUAUAGGAAGGAACACCAGUGGCGAAGGCGACCACCUGGACUGAUACUGACACUGAGGUGCGAAAGCGUGGGAAGCAAACAGGAUUAGAUACCCCCGUAGUCCCUGUCUCUUAUAA
rnacentral:rRNA from 1 species